CAGCAGCCGCGGUAAUACGAAGGGGGCUAGCGUUGUUCGGAUUUACUGGGCGUAAAGCGCACGUAGACGGACUUUUAAGUCGGGGGUGAAAUCCCGGGGCUCAACCCCGGAACUGCCUUUGAUACUGGGAGUCUUGAGUUCGAGAGAGGUGAGUGGAAUUGCGAGUGUAGAGGUGAAAUUCGUAGAUAUUCGCAGGAACACCAGUGGCGAAGGCGGCUCACUGGCUCGAUACUGACGCUGAGGUGCGAAAGCGUGGGGAGCAAACAGGAUUAGAUACCCCCGUAGUCCCUGUCUCUUAUAC
rnacentral:rRNA from 1 species